rnacentral:rRNA from 1 species
GACGAACGCUGGCGGCGUGCUUAACACAUGCAAGUCGAACGGAAAGGCCCUGCUUUUGUGGGGUGCUCGAGUGGCGAACGGGUGAGUAACACGUGAGUAACCUGCCCUUGACUUUGGGAUAACUUCAGGAAACUGGGGCUAAUACCGGAUAGGAGCUCCUGCUGCAUGGUGGGGGUUGGAAAGUUUCGGCGGUGGGGGAUGGACUCGCGGCUUAUCAGCUUGUUGGUGGGGUAGUGGCUUACCAAGGCUUUGACGGGUAGCCGGCCUGAGAGGGUGACCGGCCACAUUGGAACUGAGGUACGGCGCAGACUCCUACGGGAGGCAGCAGUGGGGAAUAUUGCACAAUGGGCGGAAGCCUGAUGCAGCAACGCCGCGUGCGGGAUGACGGCCUUCGGGUUGUAAACCGCUUUCGCCUGUGACGAAGCGUGAGUGACGGUAAUGGGUAAAGAAGCACCGGCUAACUACGUG